rnacentral:rRNA from 1 species
UACGGAGGGUGCAAGCGUUACUCGGAAUCACUGGGCGUAAAGCGCGCGCAGGCGGGUAAAUAAGUUGGAUGUGAAAGCCUACGGCUCAACCGUAGAACUGCAUCCAAAACUGUUUAUCUAGAGUCUGGGAGGGGAAGAUGGAAUUAGUUGUGUAGGGGUAAAAUCCGUAGAGAUAACUAGGAAUACCAAAAGCGAAGGCGAUCUUCUGGAACAGUACUGACGCUGAGGCGCGAAAGCGUGGGGAGCAAACAGG